UACGUAGGGCGCAAGCGUUGUCCGGAAUUAUUGGGCGUAAAGAGCUCGUAGGUGGCUUGUCGCGUCGGGUGUGAAAGCUUGGGGCUUAACUCCAGGUCUGCAUUCGAUACGGGCUGGCUAGAGGUAGGUAGGGGAGAACGGAAUUCCUGGUGUAGCGGUGAAAUGCGCAGAUAUCAGGAGGAACACCGGUGGCGAAGGCGGGUCUCUGGGCCGAAACUGACGCUGAGGAGCGAAAGCGUGGGGAGCGAACAGG
rnacentral:rRNA from 1 species